rnacentral:lncRNA from 1 species
GAAUACUGGUGAACAACUCUUCCACGCUUGCCAAGUUUACUUCUUGUGAUGAAUAAACCAUCCUGGUAUCAUGAGUUCAUGAUAUACUCAGAAUGUUUUUGUUUAUCAGUCCGUAUUUCUCUCUGUUCAGCUGACUUGUGCCCAGAACUGCACAGUUAUUUACUGUGCUCUCUUUAUAAAUAUUUUACCAUUAGUUUUUUGUUUGUUUGUUUUUGCUACCUAUGUAUACACCUCUUUCUCAUCUUGCCAAGGAAACUAUCAUUAUUUGCAUCUUCCAAGACUUUCUAACUCAUGAAGAAAACUGCACUGGGACUGAGUAGUAUGAGUUGGUUGACAGUGUGCCCUCAUUUUAGUCUUCAUCUUAUUUGGCAGAUAUGUUUACUUUUUGGAGAAAAUACAUUUUUCUUCUUUUUUUGUUUUUCGUGGAGUAAGUUUCAGGAAAUGGUGUGGAAUACACAUUUUGCUCCAUUGUCAUUUACCACCAGUCUUAAAAAUAGGACAUUUUCCUUUGCAGGGGACAUGGAUGAAGCUGGAAAGCAUCACCCUCAGCAAACUAACUCAGGGACAGAAAACCAAACACCGCAUGCUCUCACUCAGAAGCUGUUGGUCCAUGUAGUUCUUCAUAUCCAGCUCGGGGGCUGGUGGUCCAGAAUGAAGUCAGUCAUUUUCAGGACCAAUUACAUUCUUCAAGCUGAAUACUGGUGUGGUCAUUAUCACCUACUCCACAGAUAUUUUCUGUGACUUGAACUCCUGUGUGGAAUUUACUGACAUUCGCGGACAUCCUUUUAUCUUUUAGUUGUCGCAAUGGUGGCUGUUGUUAUGCUGUUGGUCUUUGUACACAGUGAUGGGGGAAAAUGACAUGUCAAUUUAUUCUUCUUGCUCCCGCCCAACAUCUAUGGCCUGAUUUUACCUGAUUUCAAUUUUUUCAAAUGUGUUAGGACUUGUUUUAAUGCCCUAGGAUACAGUAAAUUUCAGUAAAUGUUUCAGAGCGUAGUUGUAGAUACAGCAAAUUUUGAAGUCGUUUGGGUUUUUGCACAUUCUCCAGCAUUUUGAAGAUUUUAAAAGUUGAAGUAACUUAGGCCAUGGAAGUUAAGCAAAUCAUCCAAGCUCAGAUCAUUUGUUACUUAAAUCCAAGGCUCCAGCCUCUUGUUUCGUUGUGUCAUUUCUUUAGAAAACCAAUAGUUUAUAAUCUGAACAUAGUAAAAAUACAUAAUUGUAAUCUUAGCCCUUUAGAUAUAAAGCUAGGUUACAUUUAAUGCAAAGUUCAUUGGAAGUAAAAACAGACUUCAAAAGUCAGAUGCUAAAGCAUUCAUGGUAGAUUGUUGCUUUUCUAAAUUCUAGUUUUCUAUUUUAUAAAACUAGAGUCCUAG